rnacentral:rRNA from 1 species
UACGUAGGUGGCAAGCGUUGUCCGGAUUUACUGGGCGUAAAGGGCUCGUAGGCGGCCAACUAAGUCGGACGUGAAAUCCCUCGGCUUAACCGGGGAACUGCAUCCGAUACUGGAUGGCUUGAGUUCGGGAGAGGGAUGCGGAAUUCCAGGUGUAGCGGUGAAAUGCGUAGAUAUCUGGAGGAACACCGGUGGCGAAGGCGGCAUCCUGGACCGACACUGACGCUGAGGAGCGAAAGCCAGGGGAGCAAACGGG